UUGAGAAUCAUUCAUGAGAAUUUCCUUCUCCAAACCCCUUCCCUAACUUUCAGGAGGGAAAUGACAAUGGGACCCUGAGCUGGAGACCACAGAACGUGUUCUUUCAGCCAGGACCAGGGCCUUCCUGCCCCAGCAAAGCUCAUCCACCUGUGGGUCCAGCAACUCCGUCUGUCCUCAGCACGCUUUUUGAACACUGGCUCACUUCAGAGCCGUAAAUGCCGAGGGAGGUGAGUGGUGCAGCUGCCACCAGCAUGAAGUUUCUCCCAGUGAGAAGUAUGUGGGUAAAUGACAGCUCCCACCUUCAACUUUUGCCCGGUUGCUGAAUGUCCCCUCCCUUUAUGGAACAUACACCUGACACCCUGAUGGAUGCGUCUCCCUGCAGGUACCGUGAGUAAUGAGUCUGCAGCUGAUUCAAUCGCGGGGUUCCCAUAUCUUUCUUAUUAGUUGUGCAGCGCAGUUCCUUGAGCUGACAGCUGUACAAUAGCACCUUUUAAACUUUUCCUGGUUUCAUGCCAGAAAACUUAUCUUUUAACGAUUUUGCACCCACCUCCCAACUCCCAGAGCAAGUAGAGAGAGGGAGUAUGUUUUGAAAGAAAUUCCAGGCUUCUUUUGUGUAUUUUCUCGCCUGGCAGUCCAGUUUGUAACUGAUUAAAAGCAUCACGGAAAACAGUUACAGGACGUCUACAUGAAGUCCAAGUUCAUCAUGUUUUAACACUGCUAUAAAAUGCUUUUUUGAAUGUUUACUAUGUGUCAGGGACUAUGCUCGGUGCUGGGGAUAGCAGGUUAGCACAAACUGUUUUGUCUUAGGCAUUCUUUGUGAUUUUAGCCAUCUAAAUUGCACGCUGUGACUAUGAAGUAGGUAGUUCAUGUCUGUUUUGUUGCUUUGAAAAAGAUCCCAUACUAAAAGGUACAGAACAAAAUCUUUUUUUCCUCUAUUUUCCAUAACCCGGUAGAUAUUACUCUAUAAAACUCUUUUUGUACAAUUUCUUGAGAACCUUGUUACUUUCAGGAAUCACCACCCUCAGUUAACUGGGCUCUUCCUAAA
rnacentral:lncRNA from 1 species